rnacentral:rRNA from 1 species
CGGAAUUACUGGGCGUAAAGCGCACGUAGGCGGCUUUUUAAGUCAGGGGUGAAAUCCCGGGGCUCAACCCCGGAACUGCCCUUGAAACUGGAGAGCUAGAAUCUUGGAGAGGCGAGUGGAAUUCCGAGUGUAGAGGUGAAAUUCGUAGAUAUUCGGAAGAACACCAGUGGCGAAGGCGGCUCACUGGCCCGUUACCGACGCUCAGGCGCGACAGCGUGGGGAGCAAACAGG